CCUACGGGAGGCUGCAGUGGGCAAUAUUGGACAAUGGGGGGAACCCUGAUCCAGCCAUGCCGCGUGUGUGAAGAAGGCCCUCGGGUUGUAAAGCACUUUCAGUGAGGAAGAACGCCUGGUGGUUAAUACCCAUCAGGAAAGACAUCACUCACAGAAGAAGCACCGGCUAACUCCGUGCCAGCAGCCGCGGUAAUACGGAGGGUGCGAGCGUUAAUCGGAAUUACUGGGCGUAAAGCGCGCGUAGGUGGCUUGAUAAGCCGGUUGUGAAAGCCCCGGGCUCAACCUGGGAACGGCAUCCGGAACUGUCAAGCUAGAGUGCAGGAGAGGAAGGUAGAAUUCCCGGUGUAGCGGUGAAAUGCGUAGAGAUCGGGAGGAAUACCAGUGGCGAAGGCGGCCUUCUGGACUGACACUGACACUGAGGUGCGAAAGCGUGGGUAGCAAACAGGAUUAGAUACCCUUGUAGUC
rnacentral:rRNA from 1 species